UCUAAUAUGGCAGAUAAGUGCGGUAGAUUUAAGUUCUACAUAUAAAGUUUAACCUUUUAUUAGAA
rnacentral:tRNA from 1 species